rnacentral:rRNA from 1 species
UUAGAGUUUGAUCCUGGCUCAGAACGNCAACGCUGGCGUNUAGGCUUAACACAUGCAAGUCGAACGCAUCCUUCGGGGUGAGUGGCAGACGGGUGAGUAACGCGUGGGAACGUGCCCUUCAGUUCGGGAUAACCCAGGGAAACUUGGGCUAAUACCGGAUACGUGCGAGAGCAGAAAGAUUUAUCGCUGAAGGAUCGGCCCGCGUCUGAUUAGCUAGUUGGUGGGGUAAUGGCCCACCAAGGCGACGAUCAGUAGCUGGUCUGAGAGGAUGAUCAGCCACAUUGGGACUGAGACACGGCCCAAACUCCUACGGGAGGCAGCAGUGGGGAAUAUUGGACAAUGGGCGCAAGCCUGAUCCAGCCAUGCCGCGUGAGUGAUGAAGGCCUUAGGGUUGUAAAGCUCUUUCGUCCGGGACGAUAAUGACGGUACCGGAAGAAGAAGCCCCGGCUAACUUCGUGCCAGCAGCCGCGGUAAUACGAAGGGGGCUAGCGUUGUUCGGAAUCACUGGGCGUAAAGGGCGCGUAGGCGGUUGAUAAGUCGGGGGUGAAAGCCUGUGGCUCAACCACAGAAUUGCCUUCGAUACUGUCUGGCUUGAGACCGGAAGAGGUAGUGGAACUGCGAGUGUAGAGGUGAAAUUCGUAGAUUUCGCAAGAACACCAGUGGCGAAGGCGGGCUUACUGGUUCCGGUUCUGACGUUGAGGGCGCGAAAGCGUUGGGGAGCCAAACAGGAUUAGAUACCCCUGUUAGUCCACGCCGGUAAACGGAUGAAUGCCCAGCCGUUGGCGAGCUUGCUGUAGUGGCGCAGCAACGCUUUAAGCAUUCCGCCUGGGGAGUACGUCGCAAGAUUAAAACUCAAAGGAAUUGACGGGGGCCCGCACAAGCGGUGAGCAUGUGGUUUUAAUUCGAAGCAACGCGCAGAACCUUACCAGCCUUUGACAUGUCCCGUAUGGGUGCCGGAGACGGCAUCCUUCAGUUCGGCUGGCGGGAACACAGGUGCUGCAUGGCUGUCGUCAGCUCGUGUCGUGAGAUGUUGGGUUAAGUCCCGCAACGUGCGCAACCCUCGCCCCUAGUUGCCAUCAUUUGGUUGGGCACUCUAGGGGGACUGCCGGUGAUAAGCCGAGAGGAAGGUGGGGAUGACGUCAAGUCCUCAUGGCCCUUACGGGCUGGGCUACACACGUGCUACAAUGGCGGUGACAAAGGGCAGCNCNACCCGCGAGGGGGAGCUAAUCCUUAAAAACCGUCUCAGUUCAGGAUUGCACUCUGCAACUCGAGUGCAUGAAGGCGGAAUCGCUAGUAAUCGUGGAUCAGAACGCCACGGUGAAUACGUUCCCGGGCCUUGUACACACCGCCCGUCACACCAUGGGAGUUGGUCUUACCCGACGGCGCUGCGCCAACCGCAAGGAGGCAGGCGACCACGGUAGGGUCAGCGACUGGGGUGAAGUCGUAACAAGGUAGCCGUAGGGGAACCUGCGGCUGGAUCAC